AUUGAACGCUGGCGGCAUGCUUUACACAUGCAAGUCGAACGGUAACAGGUUAAGCCGACGAGUGGCGAACGGGUGAGUAAUGCAUCGGAACGUGCCCGACCGUGGGGGAUAACGCAGCGAAAGCUGCGCUAAUACCGCAUACGACCUGAGGAUGAAAGCGGGGGACCGUAAGGCCUCGGGCGAUCGGACCGGCCGAAGGCAGAUUAGGUAGGUGGUGGGGUAAAGGCUCACCAAGCCGACGAUCUGUAGCUGGUCUGAGAGGACGACCAGCCACACUGGGACUGAGACACGGCCCAGACUCCUACGGGAGGCAGCAGUGGGGAAUUUUGGACAAUGGGCGAAAGCCUGAUCCAGCUAUGCCGCGUGCAGGAAGAAGGCCUUCGGGUUGUAAACUGCUUUUGUACGGAGCGAAAAGGCUCUCUCUAAUACAGGGGGCUCAUGACGGUACCGUAAGAAUAAGCACCGGCUAACUACGUGCCAGCAGCCGCAGUAA
rnacentral:rRNA from 1 species